UUUAAAUUGAGAGUUUGAUCCUGGCUCAGGAUGAACGCUGGCGGCGUGCUUAACACAUGCAAGUCGAGCGAUGAAGUUUCCUUCGGGAAACGGAUUAGCGGCGGACGGGUGAGUAACACGUGGGUAACCUGCCUCAUAGAGUGGAAUAGCCUUCCGAAAGGAAGAUUAAUACCGCAUAACGUUGAAAGAUGGCAUCAUCAUUUAACCAAAGGAGCAAUCCGCUAUGAGAUGGACCCGCGGCGCAUUAGCUAGUUGGUGGGGUAACGGCCUACCAAGGCGACGAUGCGUAGCCGACCUGAGAG
rnacentral:rRNA from 1 species